CUAGAAGCACAGUCUCAUAGUUAGAAGGGUAGUCUUUGGCAUCACAAUACCUGGGGUUCUAAACCCAGCAUCAAUAUUUGCUAGAUGUGUGACUUCGGUGUCAUUAACAUCUCUGUGCCUCCAUUCUGUUAUCAGUACAUUGGAUUAAUAGUCGUACCUGUCCCAGAAGAUGAUUGACAAGAAUGACACCCACAUCCUCUGGAGAAGAUGGUUAGCUUUUAAUUUAGGCCUUUGAGGCGAUUGUUCCAGGAAGCUCCUCUCUUCGGUCCCACCUACUCAGCCCUCAGAGAGGAAGGAGGGCUUUGUCGCUGACAGGUCAUGAGCACAGACUCUGCCCCAAGACCUCUGCUUUCAGAACGCAAGUUCUGUUCACAAGGAACAAGGGGUAUCCAUACAAGUCCAAGUCCAUGAAGAAGGCCAUUCUGCAACCCAGAAGCCAGAGACUGGAGUUCCCACAUCCACUUGUUCUGAUUCAUUUCAUGAAGUUUAGAUGACUAAAAGAGGUUUAAAACUUAAACAUGUGGUAUAACCUCA
rnacentral:lncRNA from 1 species